UAAGCAGUGUACAUAGCCAGGUAGCUGACUUGUCAGCUAAUGUAAGCUGCUUCAGAAUGCAGCAGGAACAACAGGCUGCUGGUCCUGGCUAUCCUUUCCUCUCCUCAACACACAACUGUAGUGUUUUUGAUGUUGAGUGAACAAUCUGUAAAACUGUUAGCAGUGUACAUAGCCAGGUAGCUGACUUGUCAGCUAAUGUUAGCUACUUCACAAUGAAGCAGGAACAACAGUCUGCUGCUCCUGGCUAUCCUCUCCUCUCCUCAACACACAACUGUAGUACUUUUGCUGUUGGGUGAACAAUCUGUAAAACUGUUAGCAGUGUACAUAGCCAGGUAGCUGACUUGUCAGCUAAUGUUAGCUGCUACAGAAGGUAGCAGAAACAACAGUCUGCUGCUCCUGGCUAUCCUCUCCUCUCCUCAACACACAUUGUAGUGUUUUUGCUGCUGGGUGAACAAUCUGUAAAAAAGUUAGCAGUGUUAAUAAGCAGGUAGCCAAAGUGUCGGCUAAUGUUAGCUGCCACAGAAGAUAGCAGGAACAAAAGGCUGCUGCUCCUGGCUAUCAUUUCCUCUCCUCAGUACACAACAACUGUAGUGAUUUGCUGCUGGGUGAACAAUCUGUAAAACAGUUAGCAGUGUACAUUGCCAGGUAGCUGACUUGUCAGCUAAUGUAAGCUGCUACAGAAGGUAGUAGAAACAACAGUCUGCGGCUCCUGGCUAUCCUCUCCUCUCCUCAACACACAACUGUAGUACUUUUGCUGUUGGGUGAACAAUCUGUAAAACUGUUAACAGUGUACAUAGCCAGGUAGCUGACUUGUCAACUAAUGUUAGCUGCUACAGAAGGUAGCAGGAACAUAAGGCUGCUGCUUCUGGCUAUCCUUCCCUCUCCUCAACACACAUUGUAGGGUUUUUGCUGCUGGGUGAACAAUCUGUAAAAAAGUUAGCAGUGUUAAUAAGCAGGUAGCCAAAGUGUCAGCUAAUGUUAGCUGCUACAGAAGGUAGCAGGAACAAAAGGCUGCUGCUCCUGGCUAUCAUUUCCUCUCCUCAGUACACAACAACUGUAGUGAUUUGCUGCUGGGUGAACAAUCUGUAAAACAGUUAGCAGUGUACAUUGCCAGGUAGCUGACUUGUCAGCUAAUGUAAGCUGCUACAGAAGGUAGUAGAAACAACAGUCUGCGGCUCCUGGCUAUCCUCUCCUCUCCUCAACACACAACUGUAGUACUUUUGCUGUUGGGUGAACAAUCUGUAAAACUGUUAGCAGUGUACAUAGCCAGGUAGCUGACUUGUCAACUAAUGUUAGCUGCUACAGAAGGUAGCAGGAACAUAAGGCUGCUGCUUCUGGCUAUCCUCCCCUCUCCUCAACACACAUUGUAGGGUUUUUGCUGCUGGGUGAACAAUCUGUAAAAAAGUUAGCAGUGUUAAUAAGCAGGUAGCCAAAGUGUCAGCUAAUGUUAGCUGCUACAGAAGGUAGCAGGAACAAAAGGCUGCUGCUCCUGGCUAUCAUUUCCUCUCCUCAGUACACAACAACUGUAGUGAUUUGCUGCUGGGUGAACAAUCUUUUAAACAGUUAGCAGUGUACAUAGCCAGGUAGCUGACUUGUCAGCUAAUGUAAGCUGCUACAGAAGGUAGUAGAAACAACAGUCUGCUGCUCCUGGCUAUCCUCUCCUCAACACACAUUGUAGUGUUUUUGCUGCUGGGUGAACAAUCUGUAAAAAAGUUAGCAGUGUACAUAGCCAGGUAGCCAAAGUGUCGGCUAAUGUUAGCUGCCACAGAAGAUAGCAGGAACAACAGACUGCUGCUCCUGGCU